rnacentral:lncRNA from 12 species
UGGGGCCAGGGAUAAUGAUUUGCCAUAAAAUGAGGCUGAAGUGAACUCGACCCUCUGCACCUGGGGUCAAACAGUCAAAUCAGAACUUGCCCCCAGAGGGGCUGAUGGGAAGAACCCACACGAUUAGGCUCCAAUCUUGGACGUUAGGGUCCACGUUUCCACAGAGCAUAAUUCAAAGUUGACCUCAGGGAGCCAAAGCCCCAGACCAGCGGGGCCUGAGGUUCAGGAGGCGUCCGAGGGAGACCUGCUGAGUGUCGCUCAUAUCCCGGGCACGGAGUCCCCAGCCUCGCGCCAGGGCCUGGUCCGCUCGUCGUGACCAGCGGGGCACGGAGCCCUCAGCCUCUUGGCGGGCCGGCUCUCCCGAACUUUCUGGGCGAUCACUCUGGGGAGGAUAUUAGCUAUUAAUUAGUGCCCUUAAAUAGUGGCUUUGAACUUUUGGAAUUCAAAUUAAUUGAUGGUCUAACAGAACGCCACGUAAUUUUUACAGCAUCGAGUCUCUUUUUCCCUAGGAUUAAUCUAACUUCGUUCUUCCCGUCAUGUUCUCCCGGGCUUGCGUCUUUCCAGCAGCCGACUGCACUUCUCUUUUGAGCUUUGAACCAUGCCCCAGCGGAUCAGUAGUUUCAUUUAGGUAAACAGUUUCCAGAAAUAGAUUGGAGCUGCGAGCAAACAGCUUGUUUGUGAUAACAGGCCCUGCCUGCCGGCCGAUGUCUGAGCCUAAUGCUCUCACGUCGGCGGGCGCCGGGAGCCGACGUCCCCGCUUUGUCAACCGUCCCACAGAUGCGGUGCCUCGUCUCAAGAUAACAAUGACAGCGACCAUAAUACCUUUAAUAGAGGAUUUGCAGGCAACCUUGCAAUAACUCCACGCUCCCCCAGGGGUCUGGAAGACAACAGGUUGGCGAUGACUUAUCUAAAAAAUGGAUGGACAGCAAAUACUUCAGGCAAUGCUCCAUAAAUAUUGUUUCUCUCUGCAGAGCUUGCGAAAGGUAUUAAUGGCCGUGAGUCUGAGAUGAUAUUUCCUGAUAAGAACCUGGAAAGCAGCUCUUCCAGGUAGCUGGGUAAAAGCAGAAGAGUUACCAGAUGAGGGUUACCUGGAUGUGCAUGUGCAUAUUAAACAGGCAAAAAUACUUGGAAGGUAAUUCGGAGUAAUGCAGCAUGCCUUCUUUCCCUUUCUGAAUUAUCACAACCACACCUCUUUCUACCCAUUAAUAUUGCUAAUCAGCUAAAAUAACCACUCAUGCAUAACCUACUAUGAGGUAUGACAUGCAAUUUUGAAAAUUAAAUGCACAUGCUGAUACGUAACAUGAACUCCUGUACACUGUAAAAUAGUAACAGAUGGAAUUCUACAGGAUUCAACAUUUGAAGUUCAAAACCAGUGAUGUUGUAAGCAAGGGCAAUAUUUCACCAUACUAUUGGUAAAGGCUCCUAAUGUUUUUUAAAAAAUCGUUCCUUUGGUAAUCAAGAAAAUUAAUUUCCAGAGACAGCCAGUCUGCACAGGGUGCCUCAAUCAACCCGGCUGCCAUCGUGGCCUCCUUCAGGCCAAUAGUUGAUUAUAAGCAGUUCGCACCUCCAGAUGCCAGGGGCUGACUCACUGCCCUAACUAACUCUGUGAUGGACACAGAAAGGCUAAAUGGGAUGGGGCACAUGCGUCAUGCAGGGAGGCAAGAAGGGGUUCAUCCGUAAAAGACCAGAAGAUGAACCCCAAAGGGCUUUGUCUCUUCAACGGGGUCUCAGGUCCAUUCACAUUCUGAGACUGUGAAGUUAGUCAACUCAACCCCAAGAAAGUGGUUCCAACGUCUGAGCAACAAAAACUUCAAUGUGAAAAAAGAGGGUUAUUACACCACGGCCUGUACUCCACCA